UGGAUUAUCUGCCCUAAGGUGGGGGAUAACCCUGGGAAACUCGGGCUAAUACCGCAUAUGACCGUAAGGUCAAAGGGGGGUCGCAAGAUCUCUCGCCUUUGGAGGAGUCCGCGUCCGAUUAGCUAGUUGGUAGGGUAAUGGCCUACCAAGGCGACGAUCGGUAGCCGGCCUGAGAGGGUGAUCGGCCACACUGGAACUGAGACACGGUCCAGACUCCUACGGGAGGCAG
rnacentral:rRNA from 1 species